CGAAACCAAGUGAUCUAUCCAUGGCCAGGAUGAAGGUGCGGUAACACGCACUGGAGGUCCGAACCCACUAAUGUUGAAAAUUAGGGGAUGAGCUGUGGAUAGGGGUGAAAGGCUAAACAAACUUGGAAAUAGCUGGUUCUCCCCGAAAACUAUUUAGGUAGUGCCUCGUGCGGACACUUCCGGGGGUAGAGCACUGUAAUCGUUGGGGGGGUCAUUGCGAUCUACCCCGCGAUAGCAAACUCCGAAUACCGGAAAGUGAUACACGGGAGACAGACGGUGGGUGCUAACGUCCAUCGUCAAGAGGGAAACAACCCAGACCGCCAGCUAAGGUCCCAAAUCCAUGGCUAAGUGGAAAACGAGGUGGGAAGGCAUAGACAGCUAGGAGGUUGGCUUAGAAGCAGCCACCCUUUAAAGAAAGCGUAAUAGCUCACUAGUCGAGUCGUCCUGCGCGGAAGAUGUAACGGGGC
rnacentral:rRNA from 1 species